AACGAACGCUGGCGGCAGGCCUAACACAUGCAAGUCGAGCGCGCCCUCCGGGGUGAGCGGCGGACGGGUGAGUAACGCGUGGGAACGUGCCCUUCUCUGCGGAAUAGCCUCGGGAAACUGAGAGUAAUACCGCAUACGCCCUUUGGGGGAAAGAUUUAUCGGAGAAGGAUCGGCCCGCGUUGGAUUAGGUAGUUGGUGGGGUAAUGGCCCACCAAGCCGACGAUCCAUAGCUGGUUUGAGAGGAUGAUCAGCCACACUGGGACUGAGACACGGCCCAGCCUCCUACGGGAGGCAGCAGUGGGGAAUCUUAGACAAUGGGGGCAACCCUGAUCGAGCCAUGCCGCGUGAGUGAUGAAGGCCUUAGGGUUGUAAAGCUCUUUCAGCUGGGAAGAUAAUGACGGUACCAGCAGAAGAAGCCCCGGCUAACUCCGUG
rnacentral:rRNA from 1 species